rnacentral:rRNA from 1 species
GACGAACGCUGGCGGCGUGCUUAACGCAUGCAAGUCGAACGGAAAGGCCCUGCUUUUGUGGGGUGCUCGAGUGGCGAACGGGUGAGUAACACGUGAGUAACCUGCCCUUGACUUUGGGAUAACUUCAGGAAACUGGGGCUAAUACCGGAUAGGAGCUCCUGCUGCAUGGUGGGGGUUGGAAAGUUUCGGCGGUUGGGGAUGGACUCGCGGCUUAUCAGCUUGUUGGUGGGGUAGUGGCUUACCAAGGCUUUGACGGGUAGCCGGCCUGAGAGGGUGACCGGCCACAUUGGGACUGAGAUACGGCCCAGACUCCUACGGGAGGCAGCAGUGGGGAAUAUUGCACAAUGGGCGGAAGCCUGAUGCAGCAACGCCGCGUGCGGGAUGACGGCCUUCGGGUUGUAAACCGAUUUCGCCUGUGACGAAGCGUGAGUGACGGUAAUGGGUAAAGAAGCACCGGCUAACUACGUG